rnacentral:rRNA from 1 species
AGAGCGAACGCUGGCGGCGAGGCGUAACACGAUGCAAGUCGAGCGCCCGUAGCAAUACGGGAGCGGCAGACGGGAUAGUAACACGUGGGAACGCGCCCUUCGGUUCGGAAUAACUCAGGGAAACUUGAGCUAAUACCGGAUACGCCCUUACGGGGAAAGAUUUAUUGCCGAAGGAACGGCCCGCGUCCGAUUAGCUAGUUGGUGAGGUAAUGGCUCACCAAGGCGACGAUCGGUAGCUGGUCUGAGAGGAUGACCAGCAUCACUGGGACUGAGACACGGCCCAGACUCCUACGGGAGGCAGCAGUGGGAAUAUGGACAAUGGCGCAAGCCUGAUCCAGCCAUGCCGCGUGGAUGAUGAAGGCCUUAGGGUUGUAAAGUCCUUUUAACGGGAAGAUAAUGACGGUACCCGUAGAAUAAGCCCCGGCUAACUUCGUGCCAGCAGCCGC